CCUACGGGAGGCUGCAGUGGGGAAUAUUGGACAAUGGGGGCAACCCUGAUCCAGCCAUGCCGCGUGUGUGAAGAAGGCCCUCGGGUUGUAAAGAACUUUCAGUGAGGAAGAACGCCUGGUGGUUAAUACCCAUCAGGAAAGACAUCACUCACAGAAGAAGCACCGGCUAACUCCGUGCCAGCAGCCGCGGUAAUACGGAGGGUGCGAGCGUUAAUCGGAAUUACUGGGCGUAAAGCGCGCGUAGGUGGCUUGAUAAGCCGGUUGUGAAAGCCCCGGGCUCAACCUGGGAACGGCAUCCGGAACUGUCAAGCUAGAGUGCAGGAGAGGAAGGUAGAAUUCCCGGUGUAGCGGUGAAAUGCGUAGAGAUCGGGAGGAAUACCAGUGGCGAAGGCGGCCUUCUGGACUGACACUGACACUGAGGUGCGAAAGCGUGGGUAGCAAACAGGAUUAGAUACCCGAGUAGUC
rnacentral:rRNA from 1 species